UACGUAGGGUGCGAGCGUUGUCCGGAAUUAUUGGGCGUAAAGGGCUCGUAGGCGGUCUGUUGCGUCGGGAGUGAAAACUCAGGGCUUAACCCUGAGCCUGCUUCCGAUACGGGCAGACUAGAGGUAUGCAGGGGAGAAUGGAAUUCCCGGUGUAGCGGUGAAAUGCGCAGAUAUCGGGAGGAACACCGGUGGCGAAGGCGGUUCUCUGGGCCUUACCUGACGCUGAGGAGCGAAAGCGUGGGGAGCGAACAGG
rnacentral:rRNA from 1 species